CAGGGGAAAAUAAUGAUGGUACCCUGCGAAUAAGCCACGGCUAACUCUGUGCCAGCAGCCGCGGUAAGACAGAGGUGGCAAGCGUUGUUCGGAAUUACUGGGCUUAAAGGGCGCGUAGGCGGUGAGAUAAGUCUGAGGUGAAAUCCUAUGGCUUAACCAUAGAACUGCCUUGGAAACUGUUUUACUUGAGUCAGCGAGGGGAUGGUGGAAUUCCCGGUGUAGCAGUGAAAUGCGUAGAUAUCGGGAGGAAGGCCGGUGGCGAAGGCGGCCAUCUGGCGCUGAACUGACGCUGAGGCGCGAAAGCGUGGGUAGCAAACAGGAUUAGAUACCCUGGUAGUCCACGCCCUAAACGGUGGGUAUUAGGUGUAGGGCUCGUAAGGGUUCUGUGCCGUAGGGAAACCAUUAAAUACCCCGCCUGGGGAGUACGGCCGCAAGGUUGAAACUCAAAGAAAUUGACGGGGGCCCGCACAAGCGGUGGAGCAUGUGGUUUAAUUCGACGCUACGCGAAGAACCUUACCUGGGCUUGACAUGUUAGUAGUAGUGAACCGAAAGGGGAAUGAUUCCCGCAAGGGAAAGCUAACACAGGUGCUGCAUGGCUGUCGUCAGCUCGUGUCGUGAGAUGUUGGGUUAAGUCCCGCAACGAGCGCAACCCUUAUCCUCUGUUGCCACGCAAGUGGCUCUCUGAGGAAACUGCCGACGAUGAGUUGGAGGAAGGUGGGGAUGACGUCAAGUCCUCAUGGCCCUUAUGUCCAGGGCUACACACGUGCUACAAUGGGUGCUACAGAGGGAAGCAAGACCGCGAGGUGGAGCCAAUCCCUAAAGGCAUUCAUAGUUGGGAUCGGAGUCUGCAACUCGACUCCGUGAACGUGGAAUCGCUAGUAAUCGUGGAUCAGCUACGCCACGGUGAAUACGUUCCCGGGCCUUGUACACACCGCCCGUCACACCACGAAAGCCUGUUGUACCCAAAGCUGGUGAGCUAACCCGCAAGGGAGGCAGCCAUUUAAGGUAUGGCCGGUGAUUGGGGUGAAGUCGUAACAAGGUAGCCGUAGGGGAACCUGCGGCUGGAUCACCUCCUUU
rnacentral:rRNA from 1 species